rnacentral:misc_RNA from 1 species
UUAUAACAAGGCCAGCCUUUGUGUAAACGUUAGUUAGGGCAAUAAUAUGACCCUCUCCUUAUCUUUCUAAAGAUGUAUUUUUCUCUCCACUGUUUGUAGACUUUCAAUUUCUUCUCAAGCUUGAUGAACGUGACUUCCAACCAACUUUUUCUGCUCAAGAAUAAGGGAAGGCUCUCUGUUCUGCGUAGAGCGGGAUAUGGGCUCCCUCCCCAUUUCAGUUUUGGCUUGUCGAUGUUGGUGUCAUGGAUUUUGUUUUUACUGAUAUCAAAGCUUCAAGGAGAGGAAAAUAUGCAGGAGAUCGGUUACCAGGAAUAUUGAUGUGUUGAAUCUCUAUUGGAUUUGCAUUUUUCUUAGGUUUAGAAGGUGUUUCUGUUUGGUGGGAGAGAUUCAUGCAUGUUUAAGAUGGCAAUAUAUCUAAGAUAUAUCUAAAGUAAAAGCCUUCCUUUCUAGCUGAAAGUGUUCCCAAAGGCUACCGGAGAUUGGGCGAGAGUGAUUACACCUAUUAUACUUGGAAAUAGAGCUGCUUGGAAGUCAGGUGAGGGCAAAUUACAGUUCCAUCCACCUAUUCCUAAUGAAGAAAGUUUUUUUUUUUUAAGAAAAAUUGAAUUCAACAGUCCAAAAAGGGUAAAAGAGCAGAUACAAAUUAAGGCUCUAGCAGCUAAAUCAUGAGCAGCAG